GGUUCCAUAGUGUAACGGUUUGCACGUCUGCUUUACACGCAGAAGGUCCUGGGUUCGCACCCCAGUGGAGCCA
rnacentral:tRNA from 1 species